rnacentral:misc_RNA from 1 species
AACGCACGAGACCUGCGGACCUGCGGAAGGAUCAUUACCGAGUUUACAACUCCCAAACCCCCUGUGAACUUAUACCAUUACUGUUGCUUCGGCGGGUUAUUGCCCCGGGGAAGGACAGGCUGCCGCAAGGUGCCCUGCCGCCCCCCCCGGAAACAGGCGCCCGCCGGGGGACUUAAACUCUAUAUUUUUUUCUUGUUUUAGUGUAUACUGUCUGAGUAAAAAAACAUAAUGAAUCAAAAC